AGUAACGGCGAGUGAACAGGGAUUAGCCCAGCACCGAAGUCUGAGUCCGUUUGGGCUUUGGACAAUGUGGUGUUUAGGUUGGCGCUUUUUGAUGUCGUUCCGUUUCAAGUCCAUUCUUGAAUAUGGCUAAUAGCUUGGCCCAAAGAGGGUGAAAGGCCCGUGUGGAUGGAACGAUGUUUGACUGCGUCAACUAUGGAGUCGGGUUGUUUGAGAAUGCAGCCCAAAGUUGGUGGUAAACUCCAUCUAAGGCUAAAUACUGGCACGAGUCCGAUAGCGAACAAGUACCGUGAGGGAAAGUUGAAAAGUACUCUGAAGAGAGAGUUAACAGUGCGUGAAACCGCUUAGAAGCAAACGGGUGUAGUCAAGCUGCAAGUCUCAAGAAAUAGGGGGGUCAGAAUGGCGUGAGUCUGAGCAUAUAUUGAGCUGCGAAUGAGUCUAACUACAUGUUGGGUUCGGCUCGUAAGAGUCGGAUUUGCGAAGCGUCAUUUGGCGUUGCAAGCUUGUUCGUUAGUUGCUCUGCUGGCCCUCUCAUUUUCUUUUGGCGUAUGUCACGACCGUCUUUGUUGUCGGUCUGCUCCGUUUAAACCGUUUCGUAAGUGGUCUCGUGCUACUUGCGUUUCGGGGGCAGGUAGCCGGCCUGACUUCUGUUGGGCUGGUGUAAUUGCUGAAUGGAGUGGUACCUUUAACUGUGCAAUACGACGGGGCUGGCGGUGCAUUGUUGUUGGGUGCGCCAUAGUGUGUCGGCGUAGCUAGCGUAUGGCUGCUUGUUGCUAUUAAUAAUGGCCUUGUGGUUGCGCGGCUGCGGUGUGAUACACGGUUGUGCCUGAUCAAUCUUUGCGUUGUGCCAAUAGUCUGUGGCGUGUGGUAGACGAUCCACCCGA
rnacentral:rRNA from 1 species